rnacentral:rRNA from 1 species
UUGUUGGUAAGGUAAAAGCUUACCAAGGCUUCGAUCAGUAGCUGGUCUGAGAGGACGACCAGCCACACUGGGACUGAGACACGGCCCAGACUCCUACGGGAGGCAGCAGUGGGGAAUUUUGGACAAUGGGGGCAACCCUGAUCCAGCCAUGCCGCGUGAGUGAAGAAGGCCUUCGGGUUGUAAAGCUCUUUCAGCCGGAACGAAACGGUUACGGUUAACACCCGUGACUACUGACGGUACCGGAAGAAGAAGCACCGGCUAACUACGUGCCAGCAGCCGCGGUAAUACGUAGGGUGCGAGCGUUAAUCGGAAUUACUGGGCGUAAAGCGUGCGCAGGUGGUUUUGUAAGUCAGAUGUGAAAGCCCCGGGCUCAACCUGGGAACUGCGUUUGAAACUACAAGACUAGAGUGUGGCAGAGGGGGGUGGAAUUCCGCGUGUAGCAGUGAAAUGCGUAGAGAUGUGGAGGAACACCGAUGGCGAAGGCAGCCCCCUGGGUCAACACUGACGCUCAGGCACGAAAGCAUGGGGAGCAAACAGGAUUAGAUACCCUGGUAGUCCAUGCCCUAAACGAUGUCAACUAGUUGUCGGGCCUUUACGGGCUUGGUAACGUAGCUAACGCGUGAAGUUGACCGCCUGGGGAGUACGAUCGCAAGAUUAAAACUCAAAUGAAUUGACGGGGACCCGCACAAGCGGUGGAUUAUGUGGAUUAAUUCGAUGCAACGCGAAAAACCUUACCUACCCUUGACAUGUAUCGAAGCCCGCAGAAAAGCGGGGGUGCCCGAAAGGGAACGAUAACACAGGUGCUGCAUGGCUGUCGUCAGCUCGUGUCGUGAGAUGUUGGGUUAAGUCCCGCAACGAGCGCAGCCCUUGUCAUUAAUUGCCAUCAUUUAGUUGGGCACUUUAAUGAGACUGCCGG